rnacentral:rRNA from 1 species
UACGUAGGGUCCGAGCGUUGUCCGGAGUUACUGGGCGUAAAGCGCGCGCAGGCGGCGGCGCUGGCCUGGCGUGAAAGCCCCCGGCUCAACCGGGGAAUGGCGUCGGGGACCGCGCCGCUUGAGGACGGCAGGGGCUGGUGGAAUGCCUGGUGUAGUGGUGAAAUGCGUAGAGAUCAGGCGGAACACCCGUGGCGAAGGCGGCCAGCUGGGCCGGAUCUGACGCUGGGGCGCGAAGGCGUGGGGAGCGAACGGG